ACUCGAGUGGCGAACGGGUGAGUAACACGUGGGUGAUCUGCCCUGCACUUCGGGAUAAGCUUGGGAAACUGGGUCUAAUACCGGAUAGGAGCCAUCUUUAGUGUGGUGGUUGGAAAGUUUUUCGGUGUAGGAUGAGCUCGCGGCCUAUCAGCUUGUUGGUGGGGUAAUGGCCUACCAAGGCGGCGACGGGUAGCCGGCCUGAGAGGGUGACCGGCCGCAUUGGGACUGAGAUACGGCCCAG
rnacentral:rRNA from 1 species